CCUACGGGUGGCAGCAGUGGGGAAUAUUGCACAAUGGGGGAAACCCUGAUGCAGCGACGCCGCGUGAGUGAAGAAGUAUUUCGGUAUGUAAAGCUCUAUCAGCAGGGAAGAUAAUGACGGUAUCUGACCAAGAAGCCCCGGCUAACUACGUGCCAGCAGCCGCGGUAAUACGUAGGGGGCAAGCGUUAUCCGGAUCUACUGGGUGUAAAGGUAGCGUAGACGGCAGCACAAGUCUGGAGUGAAAUCCCGGGGCUUAACCCCGGAACUGCUUUGGAAACUGGGCAGCUGGAGUGCAGGAGAGGUAAGUGGAAUUCCUGGGGUAGCGGUGAAAUGCGUAGAUAUUAGGAGGAACACCGGGGGCGAAGGCGGCUUACUGGACUGUAACUGACGUUGAGGCUCGAAAGCGUGGGGAGCAAACAGGAUUAGAUACCCGAGUAGUC
rnacentral:rRNA from 1 species